UUUUUGGGUCUCAAAAUGGAGGUAAAACCGCCAUCCGGUCGCCCCCAGCCCGACUCUGGCCGCCGCCACCGCCAGGGGGAGGAGGGCCAUGAUCCAAAGGAACCAGAGCAGUUGAGAAAACUGUUUAUUGAUGGUCUGAGUUUUGAAACUACAGAUGAUAGCUUAAGAGAACAUUUUGAGAAAUGGGGCACACUCACAGAUUGUGUGGUAAUGAGAGACCCCCAAACAAAACGUUCUAGGGGCUUUGGUUUUGUGACUUACUCUUGUGUUGAAGAGGUGGAUGCAGCAAUGUGUGCUUGACCACACAAGGGUGAUGGGCGUGUUGUGGAACCAAAGAGAGCUGUUUCUAGAGAGGAUUCUGUAAAGCCUGGUGCCCAUCUAACAGUGAAGAAAAUUUUUGUUGGUGGUAUUAAAGAAGAUACAGAAGAAUAUAAUUUGAGAGACUACUUUGAAAAGUAUGGAAAGAUUGAAACCAUAGAAGUUAUAGAAGACAGGCAGAGUGGAAAAAAGAGAGGAUUUGCUUUUGUAACUUUCGAUGAUCAUGAUACUGUUGAUAAAAUUGUUCAGAAAUACCACACUAUUAAUGGGCAUAAUUGUGAAGUGAAAAAGGCCCUUUCAAAACAAGAGAUGCAGUCUGCUGGAUCGCAAAGAGGUCGGGGACGUGGAUCUGGCAACUUUAUGGGUCGUGGAGGAAACUUUGGAGGUGGUGGAGGUAAUUUUGGCCGUCGUGGAAACUUUGGUGGAAGAGGAGGCUAUGGUGGUGGAGGUGGUGGCAGCAGAGGUAGUUAUGGAGGAGGUGAUGGUGGAUACAAUGGAUUUGGAGGUGAUGGUGGCAACUAUGGCGGUGGUCCUGGUUAUAGUAGUAGAGGGGGCUAUGGUGGUGGACCAGGAUAUGGAAACCAAGGUGGUGGAUAUGGCGGUGGUGGAGGAGGAUAUGAUGGUUACAAUGAAGGAGGAAAUUUUGGAGGUGGUAACUAUGGUGGUGGUGGGAACUAUAAUGAUUUUGGAAAUUAUAGUGGACAACAGCAAUCAAAUUAUGGACCCAUGAAAGGGGGCAGUUUUGGUGGAAGAAGCUCGGGCAGUCCAUAUGGUGGUGGUUAUGGAUCUGUGGUGGAUAUGGUAGCAGAAGGUUCUAAAAACAGCAGAAAAGGGCUACAGUUCUUAGCAGGAGAGCGAGGAGUUGUCAGGAAAGCUGCAGGUUACUUUGAGACAGUCGUCCCAAAUGCAUUAGAGGAUCUGUAAAAAUCUGCCACAGAAGGAACGAUGAUCCAUAGUCAGAAAAGUUACUGCAGUUUAAACAGGAAACCCUUCUUGUUCAGGACUGUCAUAGCCACAGUUUGCAAAAAGUGCAGCUAUCGAUUAAUGCAAUGUAGUGUCAAUUAGAUGUACAUUCCUGAGGUCUUUUAUCUGUUGUAGCUUUGUCUUUUUCUUUUUCUUUUCAUUACAUCAGGUAUAUUGCCCUGUAAAUUGUGGUAGUGGUACCAGGAAUAAAAAAUUAAGGAAUUUUUAACUUUUCAAUAUUUGUGUAGUUCAGUUUUUCUACGUUUUAGUACAGAAACUUUAACAAAAUGCAGUUUUGAAGGUGUUUCCUUGUGAGUUAACAAGUAAAGAAGAUCAUUGUUAAUUACUAUUUUGUAUGAAUUUUGCUAAAGUUAACUGUAAAGAAACACCUGCUGACUUGCAAUUUAAGGGGAAUCUAUUCUCCCCAUUUCCAAACCCUGAUAUGAAUGGGCGCUGACAUGUGGAGAGAAUAGAUAUUUGUAUGUUUGUAAUGUGUGUUUUAGAUAAAUAGGAUUGGGUAUUUAAAUUAGCAUAUUUGUGAAUUUAAUAGCAUUAAGAUUACCAUCCAAUGAAAAUCUCAAAAUUUCUAUUUAGUUUUUGUGCAUUUUCUUCCAAAAUAUAAUCAUAUGAUUUUAGUGUGUUAGAUUUGCUGAGUCCUAGCUGUGUUUAGAACAUCUUCAUUCUACAUUUACCUUGGUCACAUUUGAACUUCUGCCAUAGUUUUUGGGUAUAAAGAAUGUCUACUGCCCACUAUUUAAAUUCUGGGAAGGGAUAGUGGGCGUUUUCCCUCUUCCUCCUACUUUAUGAAGACAGUUCUUAAGAACGUUUCAAAAUAGAGGACCACUAAGCCUGCUAUGUCGGAGGAAAUUAGUGGGUACUUUUUUUUUUUCCUUUUUAAAAGCACAAGAGGCCCAUAAAUAUCUUAUUUUCCUUGGUUUAAUUUUUUUUUUUCUCUAUACACACUUUCAGAGCAAGAGAAUAAAAAUCAUGCGUUAUUUAAACCCUUAACUGGCUGGCAUGCUUUCUGGUUUGUACCCUAUACAUUUUGCUGGAGGAAACCAAGAACAGUCCUAGGUAUAAUUGUUUAAAAUAACUUACUGCAGCAGAAAUGUAGCAUAGUUGCUUAGUACACUUGGGUGAUCUGGAGUUCCUAAAUUCCCAACGAACACAUUGUUACUUCUUGUGUAUAUUUCAACCUAAAUCAUGUUGAUGUGAGUUAUCAAUUUUUUUGGAAGGCCCUGGUUGAGAAGUUUUAGAUAAUAAGGUCAUAUAUAUGUAAAUAUAAACCAAUGUCUACUGUUUUGCGCCAGCUAGUGCUUACAAUUUCAUUCGAGCCCUAAGUAUGUGCCCUGCUGUUAUUCUUUCUUUGGCAGUUGAACGUUGAAUUCGAGAUUUCAUAUUUUUGUUUUAAGAAGUACUAAGCAAAACAAGCAAUAAAAAGGGGAAUGGGG